rnacentral:rRNA from 1 species
GACGGGGGGGGCAAGUGUUCUUCGGAAUGACUGGGCGUAAAGGGCGCGUAGGCGGUUUGUACAGUCAGAUGUGAAAUUCCUGGGCUUAACCUGGGGGCUGCAUUUGAUACGUGCAGACUUGAGUGAGGAAGAGGGUUGUGGAAUUCCCAGUGUAGAGGUGAAAUUCGUAGAUAUUGGGAAGAACACCGGUGGCGAAGGCGGCAACCUGGUCCUUGACUGACGCUGAGGCGCGAAAGCGUGGGGAGCAAACAGG